AUCCUCACCCCUGUGCCUCUGCACAGCAGGAGGUGGUAGCCACUUCCUUAGAAGGCAGUAAGGACGGUAUGUAACAAGGGGCUGGCCAUUCCCGCAGGUAGUUUGGGUGUUGGCUUUCCCGCUGCAGGCCAGCCGGAAGCACUAAAGCAGAGUCCAGGCAGGCAGGGCAGAGGCUGUGCUGGUGAAAGAGGCUGAGCAGCCAUUCUAGCCGGAGGAUACAAAUGCCCAUGGUGCUGAUCAACUCUGAAGGAGGUGCCAGCAAGCGAGGAAGGAAGCCCUCAGCAGGAACUAAAUCUGCUGUGCUACGGACUGGAGGUUUGUGUCCCUGAAAAGUCAUGUGUUGAACCUAAUCUCCAAUGUAAUGGUAGUAGAGGUGGGGCCUUUGGGUGGUGAUUAAGUCAUGAAGGUAGAACUCUCAUGAAUGGGAUUAGAGUCCUUAUAAAAGAGACAUUGGAGAGCUCCCUUGCCCCUUCCACCAUGUGAGGAUGCGUCGAGAAGACAGCUGUCUAUGAACCGGGAAGGGGGUCCUCACCAGACAUCGAAUCUGCCAGUGCCUUGAUCUUGGACUUCCCAGCCUCCAGAACUGUGAAAAAUAAACGUUUGUUGUUUGAGCCACUCAG
rnacentral:lncRNA from 1 species